UACGUAGGCAGCAAGCGUUGUUCGGAGUUACUGGGCGUAAAGGGUGCGUAGGCGGUUGUUUAAGUUUGGUGUGAAAUCUCCCGGCUCAACUGGGAGGUGCGCCGAAUACUGAAUGACUAGAGUGCGGGAGAGGAGAGUGGAAUUCCUGGUGUAGCGGUGAAAUGCGUAGAUAUCAGGAGGAACACCGGUGGUGUAGACGGCUCUCUGGACCGUAACUGACGCUGAGGCACGAAAGCGUGGGUAGCAAACAGG
rnacentral:rRNA from 1 species